rnacentral:rRNA from 1 species
CCUACGGGGGGCAGCAGUAGGGAAUAUUGCUCAAUGGGGGAAACCCUGAAGCAGCAACGCCGCGUGGAGGAUGAAGGUUUUCGGAGUGGAAACUCCUUUUGAUAGAGAAGAUAAUGACGGUAUCUAACGAAUAAGCACCGGCUAACUCCGUGCCAGCAGGCGCGGUAAUACGGAGGGUGCAAGCGUUACUCGGAAUCACUGGGCGUAAAGAGAGCGUAGGCGGGAUAGCAAGUCAGAUGUGAAAUCCUACGGCUUAACCAUAGAAUUGCAUUUGAAACUGUUAUUCUAGAGUAUGGGAGAGGUAGGUGGAAUUCUUGGUGUAGGGGUAAAAUCCGUAGAGAUCAAGAGGAAUACUCAUUGCGAAGGCGACCUGCUAGAACAUAACUGACGCUGAUGCGCGAAAGCGUGGGGAGCAAACAGGAUUAGAUACCCGGGUAGUC